GCAGAAUUAGCAGUGGAAAUUAGCAGUUUCAUAAUUAUAAUGAGAAAUCUGUGAAAAUAUGCAGAAGAGAUUUAAACUUGUUGUAAUCUGUGUUAAAAUGGGUUUAAAUACAUAAUGUCAGUCUGAGAAUGACAUUAUAGCGGUCAUAUAAAUAUAUUAUGGAAAUUAAUAAUUUAUAAAGCAAUAUUGUUUUAUUUUUUUUUUUUUUAAAAGGAAAAUGUAUAAUGCAAUUUAUUAACAUUUUAUUAAUUAUAUGGAUUUAUUUAUUUAUUUUUAUUAUUAUUUUUCUUUUGUGGUGGGGUCAGCUAUUACUGAAAAAAGAUAAAUAAAUAAAUGAUAAUAUAAUUUCUUGCUUUUAAAAGUUAAUUUGGUAAUUGUUUUAAGGAAACAUCAUAAAAUACACAAAUACAAAUAAAAA